GCCGAAAAUCCAACCCAACUUUAUACACUUAAAUCAAAAUACUUUUCCCCCCCCCAUAAACCAUUUUAACAUUAUAGUAAAGGAGAUUGAAAAAUUAUUGGAGUUUUAACAAUAGUACCGCAAGGGAAAAAUGAAAUAUUAUGAAAAAUUCUUAAGCAAUAAAAAGUAAAGAUUACCUCUUGUACCUUUUGCAUCAUGGUUCAACUAGUUUAAUCAAGCAAAACGUAUUUUAGUUUGACCCCCCGAAACUUAGUGAGCUACUUCAGGACAGCUAAGGAGCAAACCCGUCUCUGUAGCAAAAGAGUGGGACGAUCCCCAAGUAGCGGUGACAAACCUAACGAACCGAGUGAUAGCUGGUUACUCAAGAAAAGGAUAUUAGUCCAACCUGAAACCUCUACAGUAACUAAAACACUACUUUAUUUUCAGCGUAAUUCAAAUAAGGUACAGCCUAUUUGAAACAGGAAACAACCUAAUUUAAAGGAUAAGACUGGCUCUUGUACAACCCAGUAGGCCUAAAAGCAGCCAUCUUUCAAACAGCGUCAAAGCUUAAUUGUAACAAUGCCUAAUUUCACUAACCCCACCCCAAUCCUUUAUCAAUAUUGAGUAAUUCUAUAACAUUAUAGAAAAUUUUAUGUUAAAACUAGUAACAAGAAGAGACUUUCUCUUGAAUGUAAAUAUAAAUCAGAAAGGACAAGCCACUGAUACUUAACAUCACUGAACCCAAAGUAGAAACUCACCAAGAAAACCCUACUUUUAUCUAUGUUAACCUAACACAAGAACAUUACAAGAAAGAUUAAAAGAAAAAGAAGGAACUCGGCAAAUAUUAACCUCGCCUGUUUACCAAAAACAUCGCCUCUUGAGUUCUAUAAGAGGUCCAGCCUGCCCAGUGACUUUGUUCAACGGCCGCGGUAUCCUAACCGUGCGAAGGUAGCGUAAUCACUUGUUCUUUAAAUAAGGACUCGUAUGAAUGGCAUCACGAGGGUUAUACUGUCUCCUUUUUCUAAUCAGUGAAACUAAUCUCCCCGUGAAGAAGCGGGAAUAUUAAUAUAAGACGAGAAGACCCUAUGGAGCUUAAAAUUACCCAACAUUUGCUUAACUAUAAAAAUUUUCAGAAUCUUUAUUUUUACAGGCAAUAUGAUUGUAAAUUUUUGGUUGGGGUGACCGCGGAGGACAACAUAACCUCCAUGUUGAAAAAGCUUCUUCUUAGCUCAGACCCACUAGUCAAAGCAUCAACACACUGACAUUCAUUGAUCCAAUAUAGUUGACCAACGAACCAAGUUACCCUAGGGAUAACAGCGCAAUCUACUUUGAGAGCUCCUAUCGACAAGUAGGUUUACGACCUCGAUGUUGGAUCAGGGUAUCCCAGUGGUGUAGCCGCUACUAAAGGUUCGUUUGUUCAACGAUUAAAACCCUACGUGAUCUGAGU
rnacentral:rRNA from 1 species